CAAAGGCUUGGUCCUGACUUUGCUAUCAGCUUCAACCCAAUUUAUACAUGCAAGUAUCCGCGCCCCCGUGAGAAUGCCCACAAUCCUCUGCCCGAGAACAAGGAGCAGGCAUCAGGCACAUUCCACCAAUAGCCCAAGACGCCUUGCUAUGCCACACCCUCAAGGGAGUUCAGCAGUAAUAGAUAUUAAGCCAUGAGUGCAAACUCGACCUAGUUAGGGUUCUCAGGGUCGGUAAAAUUCGUGCCAGCCACCGCGGUUAUACGAAAGACCCUAGUUGAUUGACACGGCGUAAAGGGUGGUUAAGGCUAAAUCACAUAAAUAAGGCUAAAGACCCACUAGGCUGUCAUACGGACCCCGAGGAGACGAAACCCCCAAACGAAAGUAGCCUUAAAGUAUCCCUGACACCACGAAAGCCGAGAAACAAACUGGGAUUAGAUACCCCACUAUGCUUGGCUGUAAACCCAGAUGUAACCUCACAUAUACUUCGCCCCGGGUACUACGAGCACAGCUUAAAACCCAAAGGACUUGGCGGUGUCUCAGACCCACCUAGAGGAGCCUGUUCUAGAACCGAUAACCCCCGUUAAACCUCACCACUCCUUGCUCUCUCCGCCUAUAUACCGCCGUCGUCAGCUUACCCUGUGAAGGUCUAACAGUAAGCAAAAGGGGCAUGCCCAAAAACGUCAGGUCGAGGUGUAGCGUACGAAGUGGGAAGAAAUGGGCUACAUUUUCUUUAAAAGAACAUUACGAAAGGCACCAUGAAAUCGUGCCCGAAGGUGGAUUUAGUAGUAAAAAGUAAACAGAGCGUUCUUUUGAAAUAGGCUCUGAGACGCGCACACACCGCCCGUCACUCUCCCCUAAGAGCACAAUCCUGCCAUUACUAAUAAUCACACAUCAACACGGGGAGGCAAGUCGUAACAUGGUAAGUGUACCGGAAGGUGUACUUGGACUAA
rnacentral:ncRNA from 1 species